GGCACCUCAAUGGAAAGGCAGAGUGGUGGCUGAAAGCACGGGGAGCCCCGCCCCUGUAACACGUCAUGUGGCCUGGGGUGUGUCCCUUCCGUCCCUGGCCCUUUCCCUAGUUUGCAGAGUGAAGGCACUGGCCCAAAGCACCUUCAGUUUCCUGAGGGCCCGGCUGACCAUGCAGCGCCCCGCUGCUCAAGGCUCCACACAGAUGUUUCUCUCAGAUCACUUGCUCUGAGGGAAGACAGCCACCAGAUCAGGAGAACAGUCAAGCAGACAUGGAGCUGGAACCAUGUGGGGAAACUGAGGCCCCUGCCAACUCCCGACAGCAGCCGUUCCUCGGAAGUCUCCAGGUGACAGCAAUUUCGUGACAGACCCUGAGCCAGGGCUGCCUGGCCAAGCUGAAUUCCUGACCCACAGAAACUCUGAGGAUAAUAAAUGCUUACAGUUCCUUUAAGCCACGAACUUUGGAGUACUUUGUCUGUGGUGACAGAUAAAUUACAGAUAAAUGAUAAACCCUGAAUCUCCCACUGCAGCUAAGUGUGUGUCGCUCAUCCCUUUCUUUGCACAGAGAAAGCAGGAGAGCCCUUCCGUCGUUAGAGUUGACUUUAGGAGGAUUCGGAGCAGAGGUUAGCUUGUAUUGCUGCCCUGUGACCUCGUGUUUUGACCCAGCUUCGAUCCACAUGGCCCAGAUACCGUCACGAAUCUACAGCCUUUAGCUUAGCAAGGUUCUGGGUGCUGAGAUCCUGAGGACAGUGAGAGGGAUCACAUUUUCACCAAGCCCAGGCCCCUGGCCAGGAGCCCUGGGAGGCCGCCCAGCCCCUCAUCCUCACAGACAAUGACAGAUCCAUCUUCAAAGCACGGAGCACAGGCUGGGCCCUGUCGGCGAUUCCUGCCAGCACUCAGCGUGCCCUGUGGGGUGAAUGCUCAAGUCAAUCCAGUGUAGCAAAUAUUGUCUGACCAUCUACCCACAUGUGGGGCACGAGCGUGGUAGCAAGAGGAAAGGGGAGUUGAUGUGGCUCCUGCUCCAUGAGCCCCACUCUCCAGGGAGGGGAGGAUAACUGGAUGAAUCUGUGAACAAGAACCAAACUAGAAAACAGCAGCCUCUGCAUCUUCUGAAUACCCAUGGAGCAGGAACACUAAGGGAAGUUCUGUGAAAGGGUCUGCCCGUGGCCUGGGCUCUAAGAGAUCAUGCAUUUCAACAAAUGCCAACAGCAUCACACGUGGCAUCAUCCAGUGGCACCACACAGGCCUGGGAGAGCCAGGUCUGUGAGCGUCACUCUGUCCGGCAUAGUCUGUGCAGGCCAGCGAGUGCUGCCGCACACUGUGAAACAAAAACUCCAACAGCAGCAAGCACGUGUGUCCUGCUCACAGGUCGCAAGUCGGCUGAAGCGUCUCUGCUCUCACUGGGGUCUGCUCACAUGCUCAUUCCAGGGCUCAGGCUGAAGGAGCAGUCGCCGCCCGGGCCUACCCCUCUCAAGGUGCAAGGCAGGGGGACGAAAGGCCAGCACAGCCACACGACGGUGGGAGCCUCGGUUGCAGCUGAAACAUCUUAUGUCCGCCCUCAUUCCGCGGGCUGCAGCAGGUCAUGAGGCAAGUCUUUGGGACGAAGAAGUGCACUCUGUCCAGAAUACACCUUGCCAAGGAUGGGGAGGGAAGGAAAACUGAAAAAUUGAUACGACCUGCUUAACAGACGGCGGCCAGGACGUCAUAGCCGUUGAAACUGGAAACAGACUGGACCUUGUAUGGGAGAGGCUGGGUUGUUCACUAAACUUUCCCUCCUGGACACAGAACCGGACUACAUUUCCCGGCUUCGUUUGUAGCUCGUGUCUGAAUCUGGCCAGGGAAGUGGGGAGACGAUGAACUCUACUCCCAGGCCCAGACGGUUAAACCUCCUACACCAUCCUCCGUUCUUUCCUCAUCUGCUGGGUAGAUACACAGAAUCUAGCUGAGGACCCUGAAGCCCAAGAUGACAGCAGAGACACAUGGGCCCCUCAGUCACCGCUUGGGGGACAGUCACCAGGAGACACCCAGGUUAGUCUGCCUAGGGAAUUGUGGGCACACUUUUCUAGUGUCAAGUCAGAGAUUUGGGGAUUGUUUGUUACAGCAGUUGAUCUCCCUACUGUUACCUCAUGUCACAGAGGCCCCAGGGUGUGGCUCAGUGGGGCUAAGUCAGGAAGGCCUGGGCUGAAAUAUCCACCCUAGCACUUUUCAGUGGGAUCACCUUGAGCAAACUGCUAUACCUCUCUAGACCUUAAUUUUUCAUCUUUAAACAGGGAUUCAUAGUUCCUACCUCAAAAGAUAUAUUAAUGACAAACUCCAUCACUAAACCAGGUGAGGAGUCUUACUGAGUCCCAGCAGGUGGCCCCACUGGCCCAGAAGUUUACAAGAGGCUUUCAGGAGGUGGGAAGCCACCACAUGGCAUGUUGAGGGGUAAGUCUUCCUGGGGGCUCGCUCUGCUCAGGGCAGGGACUGGGGGGCAGGAUGCCCUUCAGGGCUGGGAAAAGCCACAGCGCAGGAGGGGCGGGUCCUCUGCUUUGCUG
ensembl:lncRNA